GAUGAACGCUAGCGGGAGGCUUAACACAUGCAAGUCGAGGGGCAGCACGAGGUAGCAAUACUUUGGUGGCGACCGGCAGACGGGUGAGUAACGCGUAUGCAACCUACCCUGUACUGGGGGAUAACCCGGAGAAAUUCGGACUAAUACCCCAUAGAAAUAUUGAGAGGCAUCUUGAGAUAUUUAAAGUUUCGGCGGUACGGGAUGGGCAUGCGUAACAUUAGCUAGUUGGUAAGGUAACGGCUUACCAAGGCUUUGAUGUUUAGGGGUCCUGAGAGGGUGAUCCCCCACACUGGUACUGAGACACGGACCAGACUCCUACGGGAGGCAGCAGUGAGGAAUAUUGGUCAAUGGGCGCAAGCCUGAACCAGCCAUCCCGCGUGCAGGAAGACGGCCCUAUGGGUUGUAAACUGCUUUUCCAGGAGGAGAAAC
rnacentral:rRNA from 1 species